rnacentral:lncRNA from 1 species
AUGUUUUGUAGGAAUUACAUCAAAUACACUGGAGUAAUGGUUUCAGUGAGAAAAGAGCCUGCCCUGGGGAUCAACACGCACAGAUCUGACUGUCCCAAGUUUGCUGGGUGGCCUGGAACUUCUUGGUGCAGAUUCUCCAGAGUGGGUGCCCUGGCCUUAGCUCUGAAAAUGACCCUUUUCCAGGCCACACUAUGUGUUGCUUCAACAGCACUAAACCCAAGUAGAUGCAGAGAACAGUUGCAGAGCCAUGACACCCUGUUGACUUGGGAGGUGAGUCUUAUUUCCUCUGGGCUUGUGGGUAUUCCCAUUGACCACUUAACUGUCUGCCUUUGUUAAAUAUAUUUGGGUGGAGGAUGUUGUCUUCAAAACCCUAGGAUUUCACGGAUAGGGAGGCACUGAGCUAGUGGGAAUAAUAUUCUGGCUGCAUUGACUGAUUCGUCACUUACACAGAGUCAAGGAAACCCCCAGGCCUGGGCAGCAAAUGGUGUGUAUUAGGAGCUAAGGCAGGACAUGACCAGGUCCUCAUUUCCCCUUCUGUCUCCCCAAGAAGCCCACUCUUAAGAGUUAAGCCAUGAGCUUGCCAUAAAGUAAACCUAGAGAAACUCAAAAAAUGGAGACUGGAUUGCAAACGUGAUCUCAGGUUAAUGUUCCAGGGAGUUCAGUGAGUCAUGUCAAAAAUGAGAGAUGGGAAAAUGUUAGCCUGAGAUUUGGAGUUCAAAGCCCAACAUGGCAGCUGUGUGACCUCAGGCAAGUUGUGGCAUCUCUCUGGCCCUCAAUUUCCUCAUCCAUAAAAUGGAAGCAAUAUCAUGGAUUCGUGGGUUUGUUGUGAUAUAUUAUUAUCAUGACAUAGAUGAAUAAAUAGAUGAGUGUGUAGAUAAUAAUGUUGAAUGCUAAAAUUAAUGGACUGCUGCCCCUAAGCCAGAUGCGUGAGAAUAUCCAAUUUCUCAUUUAAUUCUCAAAACCUCCCUUGGAAAUUGUUAGGGACUGCCAUCUUUUUCUUUGCCCUCAUCUUAUUGGGUGGCCCAGGAAGGAUGGUUGCUGCUGUUGUUCUACCUGCAUUCUUGGCUGUUCCUCCUACUUAGAGCUAGAGCAGCUUUGGAGCCAGCGGCUCUCCUCCUUCUUGGUGUCCUCUGGUGCAUGGUAGGUGCAGAGUGGGAGUCCAGUGACCAAAUUAAAUGUCAGAUGUGGAUGCUGAUUCUCAGGGGACAGAGAAGAGCCUGCUUGGCCACAGUGGAAUGAGGUGUCUUUCCCUGCAGUGGGAAAAAAAUUGCUGGAAGGCACUGAUCUCAGAAUCUCCCUUGCUGGGCAGCAUUUAUUUACCAGGAGUGAUGAUUUGUGUCAGUCCGUGGACUCCUUCAUGUUGACUUCUGACAGUGCCACUUCCCAGCACUGUACCCAUCGUCAAGGCAUGCAUCUUACCUUGAGUUUCUCUAGAGUCAGACUUGAGACAAGGGUUUGAGGGAUUGAGGAGCACAGGUGGUGUAGUAAGGAAGUGAGGCAGGAGAGAGGGCGCAUGGUCUCAACAGCUACCCCCAGGGGUGCCAGGAGUGUGAGCCAUGUGCCUUACAAUGAUCCCACCUGAUAAGGGACGGAGGCAGGGGUGGGUCAUUGUCGAGGCUGCUUGAAGGAGGGGGUGAGGUUUAGUUCCAGCCCAUGCCUCCUGGAUGUGUGGCCAUGUGAACUUGGAGGCAGUCCCCAACAGAGAGCUGCCCGCAGUGGCUGCUGGACAUCUGCCUUGAAUCCCAUCCUGAAGCUGAAUGGCUGGAGGAUGUGCAGGCAACGAUGGUCUGUAUCUGCUUCAUCAAGUAGCCUGUCUAGCCUCAGUUUCCUCUUCUUCCAAAUGGGCUGGUAAUCCUUGUCUGGCCAUCUUUUCAAUGUUCAUUUUUCUGCAAACUUCCUUUGAGCACCCACUGAAACUCAGACAACAGGGAUGUUAUAAAAUCAUGUCUGCUCUCAAGGAGAUGUGAGUGUGUGGGGCAGAGCGAAGGGGUGGUGUCAGCUCAGGAUGUGUUUCCUACUCAGAAAUUCUGUGUUUUUUCCCCCCUGAUAGAUGAAGGUGACCUUGCAGCCCCAGCAACCAGAUACCAGACUCCCAGACUCCCAAAGGGACACUGUCCAUGGGAGUUUAAAAAAUGAAGUCAUCAGUUUCCUAGCUUCAAAAUUCAAAAGCCUCAGUCCGGGCACAGACGGGCUGGAAGAAGUUAUACUCAGAGCCCAGGUAAAGAUCCUCAGAGCUGGGGAGCUGGGGAGAGGGGCAUAAGAAAGUUAGAUAUUGGGGCAUUUUUCAGAAGGGUCGCACACUGCUCUUUUGCUCAGACAAUGGCUGGCGUGGGUGAGAACUAAUAGACCCUUGGUCAAAAUGGGAAUCCAGUUCCCUCCUCUAAAAAG